rnacentral:rRNA from 1 species
UUCCGGUUGAUCCCGCCGGACCCCACUGCUAUCGGGAUAGGACUAAGACAUGCUAGUCAAGCGCUUUCUAGCUAAUGUGAGAGCGCGGCGUACAGCUCAGUAACACGUGGCCAACCUGCCCUUGGGACGGGAACACCCCCGGGAAACUGGGGUUAAUUCCCGAUAGGUGAAGAAGUCUGGAAUGAUUCUUCGCUCAAAAGACGUUUAUGUCAUGCUCAUAUUCGUCGCCCAGGGAUGGGGCCGCGACCGAUCAGGUAGUUGGUGAGGCAAUGGCUCACCAAGCCUUUUACCGGUGCGGGCCGUGAGAGCGGGAGCCCGGAGAUGGGCACUGAGACAAGGGCCCAGGCCCCACGGGGCGCAGCAGUCGCGAAAAUUUUGCAAUACACGAAAGUGUGACAGAGCUAUCCCGAGUGCCAUCCGCUGAGGAAGGCUUUUACCCAGUAUAAAUAGCUGGGAGAAUAAGGAGAGGGCAAGUCUGGUGUCAGCCGCCGCGGUAAUACCAGCUCUCCGAGUAGUGUGGACGUUUAUUGGGCCUAAAGCAUCCGUAGCUUGCUAGAUAAGUCCUCUGUUAAAUCCACCGAUUCAACCGUUGGAUUGCGGGGGAUACUGUUUGGCUAGGGGACGGGAGAGGUCGACGGUAUUUCCGGGGUAGGGGUGAAAUCCUAUAAUCCUGGGAGGACCACCAGUGGCGAAGGCUGUUGACUAGAACGCGCCCGACGGUGAGGGAUGAAAGCUGGGGGAGCGAACCGGAUUAGAUACCCGGGUAGUCCCAGCUGUAAAUGAUGCAGGCUAGGUGUUUGGGCGGCCACGAGCCGCCCUAGUGCCGCAGGGAAGCUGUUAAGCCUGCCGCCUGGGGAGUACGGCCGCAAGGCUGAAACUUAAAGGAAUUGGCGGGGGAGCACCACAAGGGGUGAAGCUUGCGGUUUAAUUGGAUUCAACGCCGGA